AAUGGGCGCAAGCCUGAUCCAGCCAUGCCGCGUGAGUGAUGAAGGCCUUAGGGUUGUAAAGCUCUUUUGCCGGGGACGAUAAUGACGGUACCCGGAGAAUAAGUCCCGGCUAACUUCGUGCCAGCAGCCGCGGUAAUACGAAGGGGACUAGCGUUGUUCGGAAUCACUGGGCGUAAAGCGCACGUAGGCGGAUAUGUCAGUCAGGGGUGAAAUCCCGGGGCUCAGCCUCGGAACUGCCCUUGAUACAGCAUGUCUUGAGUCCGAUAGAGGUGGGUGGAAUUCCUAGUGUAGAGGUGAAAUUCGUAGAUAUUAGGAAGAACACCAGUGGCGAAGGCGGCCCACUGGAUCGGUACUGACGCUGAGGUGCGAAAGCGUGGGGAGCAAA
rnacentral:rRNA from 1 species